GAUGAACGCUGGCGGCGUGCCUAAUACAUGCAAGUCGAGCGAACAGACGAGGAGCUUGCUCCUCUGACGUUAGCGGCGGACGGGUGAGUAACACGUGGAUAACCUACCUAUAAGACUGGGAUAACUUCGGGAAACCGGAGCUAAUACCGGAUAAUAUAUUGAACCGCAUGGUUCAAUAGUGAAAGACGGUUUUGCUGUCACUUAUAGAUGGAUCCGAGCCGCAUUAGCUAGUUGGUAAGGUAACGGCUUACCAAGGCAACGAUGCGUAGCCGACCUGAGAGGGUGAUCGGCCACACUGGAACUGAGACACGGUCCAGACUCCUACGGGAGGCAGCAGUAGGGAAUCUUCCGCAAUGGGCGAAAGCCUGACGGAGCAACGCCGCGUGAGUGAUGAAGGUCUGCGGAUCGUAAAACUCUGUUAUUAGGGAAGAACAAAUGUGUAAGUAACUAUGCACGUCUUGACGGUACCUAAUCAGAAAGCCACGGCUAACUACGU
rnacentral:rRNA from 1 species